UAUCUGGUAUAUCUCUAAUACAGCCCUCCUCUUUUCCCAACGAGAAGAUCCACAAUACCUCCUCCUUCUGCUACCCAAGUUUUGGUCAACCUGACUAAGUAAACUUUACGACAAAUACAUGAAAUAAUAUAUAUUAUGAUUUAGAAAUAGUACUUUUCUUUCCACGCCCACCUUCCAUGAAGCAAUGUAAUUCAGGGUUUUCCCAGACAUCUUCUACACGCCUGUCAACACUUUUUGAGUCGUCUAACAAUUUUCCCAAGCACAUCAUCUCCUUUUCUUCCAAGUUGCCUAUGAUACAGCGCUUUUCAAAUCUCUGUGUGACACUGUCACUGAAAAAUCUAUCCUACACCAUAAGAAGACCUGCACAGAGCAUCAGGACAGUUGUCCUCAUAGGUAAAAAUAUAGUCA